rnacentral:rRNA from 1 species
GACGAACGCUGGCGGCGUGCUUAACACAUGCAAGUCGAACGGAAAGGCCCCUUUGGGGGUACUCGAGUGGCGAACGGGUGAGUAACACGUGAGUAACCUGCCCUUGACUUCGGGAUAACUUCAGGAAACUGGGGCUAAUACCGGAUAGGAAUCCUUGCUGCAUGGUGGGGGUUGGAAAGCUUCGGCGGUUUUGGAUGGACUCGCGGCUUAUCAGCUUGUUGGUGGGGUAGUGGCUUACCAAGGCUUUGACGGGUAGCCGGCCUGAGAGGGCGACCGGCCACAUUGGGACUGAGAUACGGCACAGACUCCUACGGGAGGCAGCAGUGGGGAAUAUUGCACAAUGGGCGGAAGCCUGAUGCAGCAACGCCGCGUGCGGGAUGACGGCCUUCGGGUUGUAAACCGCUUUCAGCAGGGGCGAAGCUUUUGUGACGGUACCUGCAGAAGAAGCACCGGCUAACUACG